UCAGGGCGGUGUGGGCUGGGGGCAGUGCCUGCCUUCACUCCUGGCUCAUAUAGGAGUUAAGACCAACCACGGCUCCCGGGGGUGAUUCCAGGCUGUGCAUUCCAGGUGGGCAGAAACUUCUCAAAGCAACAAAUUUUCAAUUCCAUUUCCAAACCCAUCAUUUCUCCGUGGUUAUCUUUGGGCGACUUCCUACAUUAUCAGCCUGGUUCUUCAGACCCUGCACAAGGUACCUUCCUAGUAUAAGGUUGUGGAUCCCAUUCCAGGAUAUGCUAUCUAUUAUUGAAUUUUUAAAUUGUUUAAAAGAUGUACUUCUCAGCCUACUCUAUUCUGAUACAGCUGAAAGGAAAAAUGUUUAAUUUCAACACAGGACAUUUUUCUACAGUAUAAGCACCAUCUCAGUGAUUACAAAGACCACAAAGCAAUCCUGAGUUAGUUUAGAAACUGCAGCCUAGAAAGAAGAUAAUUCAAGGGAGAAAUGGUAGUCUACAAAAUCACAGAGAGAGCAGACAUAGACUGAUUGUUCAUCUCUUCAAGUACAAAAGUUAGAGGCUACUAAACAUAGCUAGUAGGAGCCAAAUUCAAAAUAAAAACCCCAAAUGAUGGUCCUUCAUGCAACAGGUGGUAGAUGUGUGCAUCUCAAUGGGAAAGAUGUUAUGAAUGCAAAGAGUUUAUCUGAAGUCCAUGGAAGUCUGAACAAACACUGAACAAGAGACUGAUAGAGGUUUAUUGAAUAGACAAACCACACCAGGCUCAAGAAAUCCCUCAAAUUGAAAGUACGGGCUCACGGAGUACCCAGGAGAAUUCAAAGGCUCUAUCAGAGACAGGAUACCUUUCAACACUGUCUCCCAUAACAUCCUCACAGACAAGCUGAUGAAGUAUGGGCCAGAUGAGUGAGGUGCACUGAAAACUGGCUGGACAAACUUAGAUGGUUGUGAUGACUGACAAGGAGUCUAGUUGGAGGUCAGUAACUACUGUUGUACCCUAAGGGUCAAAACUGAGUCCAAACCUGUUUAACAUCUUUAUUAAUGAUCUAGAUGAUGGGGCAGAGUGCACCCUCAGCAAGUCUGCAGAUGACAUAAAACUGGAAAGUGCAGCUGAUAAGUCAACUGGUUGUGCUGCCAUUCAGAGGAACCUUGAUAUCCAUAAGAGAUGGACAGAGAGGACCUCAGGAAGUUCAACAAAGGGAAAUGCCAAGCCUUGCACCUGGGAAUGAAUAACCCCCUGCACCAGGACAGGCUGGGGGGUGACCAGCUGGAAAGCAGCUUUGCAGAGAAGAACUUGGGGGUCCUGAGGGACAACAAGGUGACCAAGAGCCAGCAAUGUGUUCCUUGUGGCCAAGAAGGCCAAUGGUAUCCUGCGGUGCAUUGGGAAGAGCAUUGCCAUCAGGUUGAGAGACACAAUCCUUCCCCUCUACUCAGUCCUAGCGCGGCCACACCUGGAGUAAUGUGUCUGGUUCUGGGAUCCCCAGUAUGAGAGAGGCAUGGACAAACCGGAGUCCAGCAAAUGGGCCACAAGAUGAUUUAUGGACUGGAGCAUCUAUCAUACAAUGAAAGGCUGUGAGAGCUGGGACUGUUCUGCCUGGAGAAGAGAAGGCUCAAGGGGAUCUUAUCAAUAUGUAUAAAUACCUGAUGGGAUAAAAAGACAGGGUCAGACUCUUCUCAGUAGUGCCCAAUGACAGGGUGAGAUGCAACGGGCACAAACUGAAACACAGGAAGCUGCAUCUGAACAAAGGAAAAUUUUUCCCUGAGAGGGUGACUGAGCACUGGAGUGGGUUGCCUAGGGAGACUGUAGAGUCUCCAUCUCUGGAGAUACUCCAAAGUCAUCUGGAUAAGGUACUGGGCAGCAGGCUCUAGGUGACCCUGCUUGAGCAGAGGAGUUGGACUAGCUGAUCUCCGGAGGUCCCUUCCAACUUAAAACAUUCUGUGAUCUUGUGAUUCUUUGAGUAUGGACUUUAGACUAUGGCCUUUCUUGUGCUCUUUCACAAGAAGAGAAUAUAUCCACUUGCAUGAUUAUACACAGUUAAGUGCUGCAAAAUCAGAUUCUAAGAGUAAAGUGAAGUUUUUCACUGCAUUAUUGUUAUUACUUUUUAAAUAGAAGAAAAAUACAGGGUUCUGCAAGUUGUCCAAGUCAGGAUGAAGUACUGGUGACAGAUUAGAUUUGAUGCAGUCCAACUUUUUCAUAAAGAAUGCUCAAAUUUCAGUUUCCCAUAUUAUCAAGAAAUCUGCAUGUAGAUCAUAAAUUCUUGUUGAAAUUAUGGCUUCUCAUUUACAGUAAAUUUUAUUUCAGCUAAUUAAUUCUGAUUGAAUUAGCAUUAUGGAAGGGAAAAAUACUGGCUAGAACAGAAGUCAUCUUCUUAGCUUAAUCUAAAUAUUAGAUUAAAGAUAUAAGACCCUAAUUAAUACGCUGAAGAAAAGCUUUGCUAAGAUGAUGCCCACUGAACAAUUGUUUCUAAACAUGAAUUAGAUGUAUUAAUCACAUAAGACUAUGGCUUUAGAGUGACUAAAUCAGUCACUGUUUUUUUCUCAUGAUCCUAGUGAUAGUUGCUAGGAUGGACCAAACUUUCACUAAAAGCUGUAUCUAAUUUCAAAGACUUAUUUUUAUACCAUGACUAAAAACUACACUGUAAUGAUACUGACUUUGAAACUAUGUAUUGCUUACCUAAAAAGAAGAAUAAGGAUAGUGUUUUAUUCUUAAGCUAUUAGAAAUGGAAUGUAUCUAGUUAAUAUCAUGGUUUAAUAACAUUGGGUUAGGAUAAUUGAGAUAUCCCCACAAUAUUUUUUCCUAAAUUCUUGAAAUAAACUCUCAGUUUUAAUAGUGCUAGUAAGUACUUCACAGCCUUGGAAUUUCCAUGAUUUAAAUACAUAUCGUUGGACUUAAACACAGGAAAAUUAAACAAGAAAUUCACAGCAAAAUAGACAAUGAGAAACACAUUGCCAAAGAAGAAAAUUGCUGUAAAUGACAACUAAUUUCAAGUUGGAAAGAAACACAGGGUGUACCCCGUGCUUACCUUAGUCUGUGUUAUGGGCCUUAGUCUAUACUCUGCAAGUCUGCAGGUUCUUGUUUCAGUAAGCUGUUUAAGGCAUUGGUCAAGGUUAGCUGCUGUUUGUGCAGCAGCUAGCACAAUGGGAAAUUCUGACGCCUUACUGCUGUCAAAGUAAAUAUAAUACAUAACUGUACUAUCUGAGCUCAAAAUAAGUAAACUACCCAGUGUCUUGUUUGCAGCUUGUUCACCCUUGUUGUGGAAGUAGUAAGAAUUACUUUGAGAAUAAUACAAAGAAUGCUCCAUUUUAAAAAUAAUUUCCAAGAACAUACAUGAAAUUCUGUUGAAAUACAGCAGCAUCACUGAAGUAGACACAUGCAAAACUUUUCCCGAAGCAAAAUUUCCAAGAAAAUGAGUGUUCUCUUUUAAGAGAGUGUGAUGGCAGGGGUGUCAGACUUUACUUUUCCUCUUUUGCUAGGUCCUUGCCUAGGACCAAGAAAAGGAGGUUGUUGUACAGCCAGUAUUUUGCCUUGUACACAGGAAAUUCUCCAGGGAGCUUUUAAGGCAGGUUUUACUUCCUCCAAACUACCAAUGCAACUGAGUUAGAGUAGAGCAAACUGUCUGUAUUCCAGAAAAUUAGAUAACUUCUUGGAAUAAUUAGUUCUUCCCCAAUAAUAACUUUGCUUGUGAUCUGUAAUCUUCUUCAUUAGCAGAGAACAGAAUGUGCAAGUUUCUAACCUGUGGUGUACAAUUUAGUAAAAUAUGCAUAAUUUAUUUGACUGAAUGUAAAAUAGACUAUAAAAUGAAUGUUGUGAUAUUUUGUACAUCAGUUGACAAGAAAUUAGCAGCAGGAAAGUAAACACAGAUAUUUAAAACUACUUCCUCCAGUUUGUGUCUUCUGGAUAUUAGACAAAACACAGAUGUAUACUAAUAGUAAAUUUUAAAGCAACUGAAUGCAUGACUCAUCACUGUAUAUCCCCUGAGCAUUCUCAGUUUAAAUGAUAUCUAUCAUUUGAUUCAAAAUGUAUGCAAAACACGGUGUAUUUGCAUUCCUUUCAGUCAAGUGCCGUGUCAUUGGCCAUCCUGGCCAUUUGUCAGAAUAUUCAAAAUAAAGCAGUUAUAAAUACUUA